UACGGAAGGGGCUAGCGUUGUUCGGAAUUACUGGGCGUAAAGAGCGCGUAGGCGGCUUACCAAGUUGGGGGUGAAAUCCCGGAGCUCAACUCCGGAACUGCCUUCAAAACUGGUAGGCUCGAGUCCGGAAGAGGGGCGUGGAAUUCCCAGUGUAGAGGUGAAAUUCGUAGAGAUUGGGAAGAACACCGGUGGCGAAGGCGGCGCCCUGGUCCGGUACUGACGAUGAGGCGCGAAAGAAUGGGGAGCAAACAGG
rnacentral:rRNA from 1 species